rnacentral:rRNA from 1 species
AGAGUUUGAUCCUGGCUCAGAACGAACGCUGGCGGCGUGGAUAAGACAUGCAAGUCGAACGAGAGAAUUGCUAGCUUGCUAAUAAUUCUCUAGUGGCGCACGGGUGAGUAACACGUGAGUAACCUGCCCCCGAGAGCGGGAUAGCCCUGGGAAACUGGGAUUAAUACCGCAUAGUAUCGAAAGAUUAAAGCAGCAAUGCGCUUGGGGAUGGGCUCGCGGCCUAUUAGUUAGUUGGUGAGGUAACGGCUCACCAAGGCGAUGACGGGUAGCCGGUCUGAGAGGAUGUCCGGCCACACUGGAACUGAGACACGGUCCAGACACCUACGGGUGGCAGCAGUCGAGAAUCAUUCACAAUGGGGGAAACCCUGAUGGUGCGACGCCGCGUGGGGGAAUGAAGGUCUUCGGAUUGUAAACCCCUGUCAUGUGGGAGCAAAUUAAAAAGAUAGUACCACAAGAGGAAGAGACGGCUAACUCUGUGCCAGCAGCCGCGGUAAUACAGAGGUCUCAAGCGUUGUUCGGAAUCACUGGGCGUAAAGCGUGCGUAGGCUGUUUCGUAAGUCGUGUGUGAAAGGCGCGGGCUCAACCCGCGGACGGCACAUGAUACUGCGAGACUAGAGUAAUGGAGGGGGAACCGGAAUUCUCGGUGUAGCAGUGAAAUGCGUAGAUAUCGAGAGGAACACUCGUGGCGAAGGCGGGUUCCUGGACAUUAACUGACGCUGAGGCACGAAGGCCAGGGGAGCGAAAGGGAUUAGAUACCCCUGUAGUCCUGGCAGUAAACGGUGCACGCUUGGUGUGCGGGGAAUCGACCCCCUGCGUGCCGGAGCUAACGCGUUAAGCGUGCCGCCUGGGGGAGUACGGUCGCAAGAUUAAAACUCAAAGAAAAUUGACGGGGACCCGCACAAGCGGUGGAGUAUGUGGCUUAAUUCGAUGCAACGCGAAGAACCUUACCUGGGCUUGACAUGUAAUGAACAACAUGUGAAAGCAUGCGACUCUUCGGAGGCGUUACACAGGUGCUACAUGGCCGUCGUCAGCUCGUGUCGUGAGAUGUUUGGUUAAGUCCAGCAACGAGCGCAACCCCUGUUGCCAGUUACCAGCACGUGAAGGUGGGGACUCUGGCGAGACUGCCCAGACCAACUGGGAGGAAGGUGGGGACGACGUCAGGUCAGUAUGGCCCUUAUCCCCAGGGCUGCACACGUACUACAAUGCCCAGUACAGAGGGGGCCGAAGCCGCGAGGCGGAGGAAAUCCUAAAAACUGGGCCCAGUUCGGACUGUAGGCUGCAGCCCGCCUACACGAAGCCGGAAUCGCUAGUAAUGGCGCAUCAGCUACGGCGCCGUGAAUACGUUCCCGGGUCUUGUACUCAC